CCUGCAGGCUUCAGACUUGAGCCUGGAGCAGCGACUCCUCCCUGGUCUCCAGCCUGCUGACAUACCGGGCAGCUUCCAGAUUUGCAAACCUCAUGAUCGCGUGUGAACAUCCAGGGCUUCCUACCUGCAGCAUCCCAGCCAGGAAGCAGCACAGAGCAUCUCCGCAGCCUGAAGAUGAGGGGUCCUCCCUGUGACCUCACUCUUGCAGACAGACCAGCAGCCCCCUUCUUAGUGAAUUCCUUCCCAGGAAAAAUGAGUACCCACUGCCGGCCGCCAUUGUUACAGCUCCUCCUCCGACCCACCUGCCCCCCUCUGGUGCCUCCCAGGACUCUGAUGACAUCAGCCCCACCCAGAGCAUCCAGGAUCCGCUCCCUGUCUCAGGACCCUUUACGUCAUCACAUCUGCAAAGUCCCCUUGGCCAUGUAAGGUCACAUAUUCACAGCUUCCAGGGAUUAGGAUGGGGACAUCUUUGGGAACCAUGACUCUGCCAAUCACAGAACCAAAUGAGGUCACUGGGGAGAAAGGGGCAGCAGAGGAGAGAGAGGGCUGGAGGCCUGGGCAGUACAGGUGAGCUUAGGGCAGGAGCCAGCCCCAGACAGAGCCAUCAGGUGGGGGGAGCCUCAAGAGUGAUGGGCCUUGGAGGCCACGAGGGCAGAGAGACGUCAUUAGCUGAGAUGCAGACUGACCAGGGCCCGUGGCAGCCUGGUGACAGUGCAGCAGGAGCAGUUUUAAUGGAAGGUGGGAAGGUGGCAGGAGGGAGCAGGUGGAAGAUGAACAGGAAGAGUGGCAGGUCCGGGCACCUUCUCAGAGAGCAUUACUGAGGAGGCCAGGGCCACCGUGGAAUGCACAAAGCUGGGGUUCUCUGUUUGCAUCAGACACUCCCAUCAAUUGUCCUGGUUCCAGAGACACUGCCUGGUCUCUGGGCUCCAUGCAAGGACCUGAGCAGCCCCCAGCACUCCCUUCUGCCCCCUCCUACCUCCCAGCUAGAAUCCGCAAGGACAGGCUCACCAUGAGGGAGGGGCCCGAGAGCACAGCUGUCUCACAUCAGGCCUGGUCAGUCAGGAGACGCUCUCUGAGCUCUUGCUGGGCUCCAGAGGCCAGGGUGCAGGUGGCCACCUCAAGUGGACCCGUGGCCCUGGGGGCUGAAACCCCUGGGGUCUUGUCCGGCAGCAACACACUGGAUGUGACCCAUGAGAAGCUUCUCCAAAACCCUCUUCCCCACUGGGCCGGUGCCUGUCACAAAAAGCCCUUUCAGAUUCUUGUUACCACCCCACACACCCAAGAUGCACCUUCCAGGGUCCACAGUCCAAAAUGAUUUGCACGCAAUUUGUUCCAGCAAAUGCCCGAGAAGCUGUUUAAUAUCGAAGGAAUAGACUGGGACCCAGGGUUAGGGAAUGUAAAUAUUCUAAAUAUGAGUGCUCUGGGCCACACGCAGAGGCUCAGGCCUCUAAUUCCAGCGCUUUGGGAGGCUGAGGCAAGCAGAUCACUUCAGCUCAGGGGCUGGAGACCGGCCUUGGCAGCACGACCAAACCCUGACUCUAC